rnacentral:rRNA from 1 species
UACGAAGGGGGCUAGCGUUGCUCGGAAUCACUGGGCGUAAAGGGUGCGUAGGCGGGUUUUUAAGUCAGGGGUGAAAUCCUGGAGCUCAACUCCAGAACUGCCUUUGAUACUGAAGAUCUCGAGUCCGGGAGAGGUGAGUGGAACUCCGAGUGUAGAGGUGAAAUUCGUAGAUAUUCGGAAGAACACCAGUGGCGAAGGCGGCUCACUGGUCCGGUACUGACGCUGAUGUGCGAAAGCGUGGGGAGCAAACAGG